rnacentral:rRNA from 1 species
UAGCAGGGGGUGCAAACGUUGCUCGGAAUCAUUGGGCGUAAAGCGCACGUAGGCGGUUCGUUAUGUCGGAUGUGAAAGCCCUUGGCUUAACCGAGGAAGUGCAUCCGAAACUGGCGAGCUAGAGUACUAAAGAGGAUCGCGGAAUUCCCGGUGUAGAGGUGAAAUGCGUAGAUAUUGGGGAGGAACACCAGUGACGAAAAACGGCUCACUGGACCGGUUCUGACGCUGAUGCGCGAAAGCGUGGGGGAGCAAACGGG